CAAGUACUCCCUCCCUUCGGAAUUACUUGUCAUCAAAAUGGAUGUGUCUAGAACUAAAAUACAUCUAGAUACAUCCAUUUGAAUGAAAAGUAUUUUCGGAUGGAGGGAGUACAAG
rfam:Triticum urartu cultivar G1812 contig1044716, whole genome shotgun sequence.